rnacentral:rRNA from 1 species
ACGCCUAACACAUGCAAGUCGAACGAAGUAGCAAUACUUAGUGGCAGACGGGUGAGUAACAUGUAGGUAUCUGCCCUUUGGCCUGGAAUAACACGAGGAAACUUGUGCUAAUACCGGAUAAGUCUUUACGGAGAAAGCUUUAUGCACCAUUGGAUGAGCCUGCACUUGAUUAGUUUGUUGGUGGGGUAAUGGCCUACCAAGACUGUGAUCAAUAGCUGAUUUGAGAGGAUGAUCAGCCACAUUGGGACUGAGACACGGCCCAAACUCCUACGGGAGGCAGCAGUGGGGAAUCUUGCACAAUGGAGGAAACUCUGAUGCAGCGAUGCCGCGUGAGUGAAGAAGGCCUUUGGGUUGUAAAGCUCUUUCGUCGGGGAAGAAAAUGACUGUACCCGAAUAAGAAGGUCCGGCUAACUUCGUGCCAGCAGCCGCGGUAAUACGAAGGGACCUAGCGUAGUUCGGAAUUACUGGGCUUAAAGAGUUCGUAGGUGGUUGAAAAAGUUAGUGGUGAAAUCCCAGAGCUUAACUCUGGAACUGCCAUUAAAACUUUUCAGCUAGAGUAUGAUAGAGGAAAGCAGAAUUUCUAGUGUAGAGGUGAAAUUCGUAGAUAUUAGAAAGAAUACCAAUUUGCGAAAGCAGCUUUCUGGAUCAUUACUGACACUGAGGAAC